ACGGUGACGCGGCUGCGGCGCGAGAACCGGCGGCUGCGGCUGCAGCGGGACCAGCUCCGGCACAGGUGGGGGAGAUGGGGGGUCUGGGGGUCCUCAAAAGACCCCUGAGACCCCCCCAAAUCCAUAACACCCCCCCAAUGCACAGGCUGGAGGCCACAGAGGCAGCAGAGCCUCGGACAGCGCAGAGCAAGCUGUUGCUGCUGGAGGAGACCCCCGAGGACCUGGAUGAGCUGCCUGAGGGAGAGGAGGAGGAGGAAGAGCUGGAACUCUCCAGGGCUGGAUUUAGAGGUUCCACGAGGUCGCCCCCCCAAAAACUCUCAGCAUCCCCUGGGGACCCCCCCUUGGCCCCCGUCCUGCAGCUCCUCCGCAGCCAGCUGCAGGAGAAGGACGCGCUGAUCCAGCACCUGGAGGUGAGGGUUUAAACCUGGCCGUGGGAUCCCCGGGGGUCUCCAUCCCCAGCUGAACCCCCCGCCAUGAACCAUCAACACCCCCAGAACGACUGGGAGCGCAGCCGGGCGCAGCGGGAGCG
ensembl:lncRNA